rnacentral:rRNA from 1 species
AUUGAACGCUGGCGGCAGGCCUAACACAUGCAAGUCGAGCGAGCGGCGGACGGGUGAGUAAUGUAUGGGGACUGCCCGAUAGAGGGGGAUAACUACUGGAAACGGUAGCUAAUACCGCAUACUAUCGGAUAACCCAUAUGGGAUUAGCUAGUAGGUGAGGUAAUGGCUCACCUAGGCGACGAUCCCUAGCUGGUCUGAGAGGAUGAUCAGCCACCCUGGGACGGAGACCCGGCCCCUACUCCUCCGGAGGCAGCAGUGGGGAAUAUUGCCCAAUGGGCGCAAGCCUGAUGCAGCCAUGCCGCGUGUAUGAAGAAGGCCUUCGGGUUGUAAAGUACUUUCAGUCGGGAGGCGUUACCGACAGAAGAAGAACCGGCUAACUCCGUGCCAGCAGCCGCGGUAAUUC